UGGAUAAGGUAACAAUAAAGUAUGAUCACAACUCUAAAACAUUUGCAGGCUUGAAUUGAUUUAAAAAAAAAAAAAAAAAAUCACAGAUCUGAUAUUCGAAAAGAUCUCAAUAUAAUAUUAUUGUUUUUAUCUGCAAAUCCUUUUAUUAUUUUUAUUUUGCGGCACAAUAAUUGAUCUUCAGUGGAUUCACUCCAGGGGGCGAAGUAUCCGCAUCCACUUCAGGUUUGGUGAACUUUGACACCAAAGUCAAUCCGUCGUCCAAUGACGAACAGUCUUCUUCAUACUGGCAAAUGUACGACCACUUUUAUCCUGUCUCUCACCGUGGAAGGAGUAGAAACUGCUUCUCUUAAGAGGAAUAAUUUACAUGACAGGAGUCGUGGAUACCACGAAAGAAGUGGAAAGCAUCAAUGGAUGAAAUGGAUCGGACCCUUUGCAGGCAACCAGCAUUAUGCUAGAAAAUGUGGGCCCUUAGGAGUGUCGCUUCCAGCCACACAGCAAACUACCCCAUCCCCGACAAACAACAAGUGAACCAGAGAUCUCCCCCUGUCCCAAUGCACUAGACACUUACAGCUCCAACACUGGGCAAAGCACUCCACUGCAGCUUUUGCAGCUGGGCUGCCCUGCCUCACUUGGAUGCAUCAACAAAGCUUGAAGUGGCCACUCUAAUCUGGUUAAGUAUUGCCUGGUUGGGGAGAAAUUAGCUGAAUUCUUUUAACUUUUCAAACAAACAUAAUACAGUCAAACUUGCUGGAUGAGAAUCAAUUACAUGAACUGAAAAUAGGUUCGGGGGGGGGGGGGGUUAUCAUUUCACUUCUGGAAAUCAUCUAAUACAUCUAUUCAAUGGCAUAUGCCUGUAGUGUCACAUCGAAGCCAUAUUUCAGUCCAGAGAAAUGAAUGAAGCAGAGGAGUAUCUGUUGAAACACUGCCGGAAUACGUUUCAUAAAUCUUUUUUCACCCAGCGGUGAUAUUGCCAUUAUCAGCAUUACUUAAAAAAAUGGUUAUUCCCUGCCUAAAUCCAUAAGAUAUUGUCAGGAAUAAUGGGAUAAUUUCAGGGUAAUCGCAUAGUUUCUCAGUAUGAUUGGUUGGAUUGGUGACUGCAAACUAUUGUCCUUGUUGUUUAUUAAAUAAAAUAACACCCAUCUAAAACAAAAAAAUUAACUUAUUCAGCAUUUUUAUUUCUGCGAAGGUUGAGAAAUGUUGUUUUCCUAAAAUACACAUUGCUUUGAGGGCACCAGAAUAAACAGUGUGUCUGUCAGGGUGUCUGUUUGGUUUAAUAAUCCAAAGUGAUGAAGAAUUUCGUCUACCAUCUUAAAACUUUGAUAUAGCCAUGCCAUCCAUGAAACAAUUCUGAUUAGUUAUCAUUAAAUAAAUCACAUUUUCACUUAAGUCAUGUAUGUUUGUGUUUCUAAAGCUAAGAAUAUCCAUCUAUGUACCUGUCAGGCAACAGUGUGAGUAGAUUAAUUACCCCAGGGAUAGUAAAAGAAAUCUCUAGUUUAAUACUAUUUCACAAUCAACAUCUUCUCUUUUCAAGUGAUAAGAUUGUGAAAAAAAAACGACAUCUUUUAUUAUCGUCUUGCCUAACAGAUGGUAUCGAGGGGAAAGAAAGAAUAUGAUCACAAUACAAACAUUUUUGUUGUAUUGAACAUUUUCUUCCAUUGGAUCUUUAGGGCAGAUUGUCUCCAUUUUUCAAUGUGUCUAAACCCUUUGUUUGAGAGAGAUCUGUUAAAUCUGUCUUGCUGCUAAUAAACUGCCAUU